AAUCCAUGUUGAGGAUAUUUUCGCAGGAGAUCCUUGAACCUUUCCUAUGUAUUAAAGAGAGACUCCAAUUCCAUUUGUACAAAGGAAGAUAUCUCAUUCUUGAGCUU